rnacentral:rRNA from 1 species
CCAAUAGCGUAUAUUAAAGUUGUUGCAGUUAAAAAGCUCGUAGUUGAAUUUCGGGAUCAAUAUAUCGGUUGUGCCAUUGGUACGUACUGGUAUCAUUGGUUUCUCCUUUCUGACGAACCAUGAUGUCAUUAAUUUGGUGUUAUGGGAAGUUAGGUCUGUUACUUUGAAAAAAUUAGAGUGUUUAAAGCUGGCUCUAGCUUGAAUACAUUAUAAUGGAAUAAUGAAAUAGGACGUUCGAACCUAUUUUGUUGGUUUCUAGGAUCAACGUAAUGAUUAAUAGAGAUAGUUGAGGGCAUUAGUAUUCAAUUGUCAGAGGUGAAAUUCUUGGAUUUAUUGAAGACUAACUACUGCGAAAGCAUUUGCCAAGGAUGUUUUCAUUAAUCAAGAACGAAAGUUAGGGGAUCGAAGACGAUCAGAUACCGUCGUAGUCUCAACCAUAAACUAUGCCGACUAGGGAUCGGAUGAUGUUAAUUUUUUAAUGACUCAUUCGGCGCCUUACG